rnacentral:rRNA from 1 species
CUAGUGACAAUAGCGGAGAGGAAACACCCGUUCCCAUUCCGAACACGGAAGUUAAGCUCUCCAGCGCCGAUGGUAGUUGGGGCCAGCGCCCCUGCGAGAGUAGGUCGUCGCUAGGC